rnacentral:rRNA from 1 species
GAUCCUGGCUCAGAAUCAACGCUGGCGGCGUGCCUAACACAUGCAAGUCGCACGAGAAAGGGGCUUCGGCCCUGAGUAAAGUGGCGCACGGGUGAGUAACACGUGACUAAUCUACCCUCGAGUGGGGAAUAACUGAGAGAAAUCUUAGCUAAUACCGCAUAACACUUACGAGUCAAAGCAGCAAUGCGCUUGGGGAGGAGGUCGCGGCAGAUUAGCUAGUUGGUGGGGUAAUGGCCCACCAAGGCGAUGAUCUGUAUCCGGCCUGAGAGGGCGCACGGACACACUGGAACUGAAACACGGUCCAGACUCCUACGGGAGGCAGCAGUGGGGAAUUUUGCGCAAUGGGGGAAACCCUGACGCAGCAACGCCGCGUGGAGGAUGAAAUCCCUUGGGAUGUAAACUCCUUUCGAUAGGGAAGAUAAUGACGGUACCUAUAGAAGAAGCCCCGGCUAACUUCGUGCCAGCAGCCGCGGUAAUACGAGGGGGGCAAGCGUUGUUCGGAUUUAUUGGGCGUAAAGGGUGCGUAGGCGGUUUGGCAAGUCUUGUGUGAAAUCUUCGGGCUCAACCCGAAGCCUGCAUAAGAAACUGCCGGGCUUGAGUAUGGGAGAGGUGAGUGGAAUUUCCGGUGUAGCGGUGAAAUGCGUAGAUAUCGGAAGGAACACCUGUGGCGAAAGCGGCUCACUGGACCAU